rnacentral:rRNA from 1 species
GACGAACGCUGGCGGCGUGCUUAACACAUGCAAGUCGAACGGAAAGGCCCUGCUUUUGUGGGGUGCUCGAGUGGCGAACGGGUGAGUAACACGUGAGUAACCUGCCCUUGACUUUGGGAUAACUUCAGGAAACUGGGGCUAAUACCGGAUAGGAGCUCCUGCUGCAUGGUGGGGGUUGGAAAGUUUCGGCGGUUGGGGAUGGACUCGCGGCUUAUCAGCUUGUUGGUGGGGUAGUGGCUUACCAAGGCUUUGACGGGUAGCCGGCUUGAGAGGGUGACCGGCCACAUUGGGACUGGGAUACGGCCCAGACUCCUACGGGAGGCAGCAGUGGGGAAUAUUGCACAAUGGGCGGAAGCCUGAUGCAGCAACGCCGCGUGCGGGAUGACGGCCUUCGGGUUGUAAACCGCUUUCGCCUGUGACGAAGCGUGAGUGACGGUAAUGGGUAAAGAAGCACCGGCUAACUACGUG